GUUUGAAUUUACCUAAAAUCAAUUUGAAUUCACACUUAAACUAGUUGUUACCAAAACAACUUUAGCUAAUAGAACCAGUUUUGCUGUAUAGAUAAUGCUCAUGCAGUCUCACUGUUCAAUUCUCUGACAUGUAGGAGUCACUUUGUUUGUGCAGCCCUAGUGCAAAGCCUUCCCAAUAGCUUGCUAGUCCUUGCAGGAGUCUACUGUAUGUGAUCAAGGUUCAAUUUACAAAGGAGG